CCUAACAACACACAACAUUCCAGGAAUGUACUACCAAAGUUCUAUCAAUAUUUGAAUGUCCUGGACAUUUAGGGAACAUUCGGUGAACAUCUGUUUAAAUUAUUCCUGGAAUGUUACCAUAAGACAUUCUGUGAACAUACUACCAAUGUUCUUAUAUUUUAAGUUGCGAAAUAAUACAUACGUGUAACAGAUACAACAUUACUUAUAACAUACCAGACAAACUAAGUGACACUUUAGGCCUACAGUGCAAUAAUAUGUCAAAUUUAAAGAGUUUCCCAAGUUCAAUUAAUACAAUAUUAUAAACAUACAAAUGUAAUAAAAAUUAUUGUUCGCGAAUAUUCAAUUUGGAAUGCGAUUUUGUUAAUAAAAAAAAUACUUAUAACUUAUGCAAAACCCAAGAGAGGCAUUUAUAUUUAUUUCUUUUGCGUUCAUUUUCAAAUUCGCCGUGCAUAUAUUUUUGUGCAUGGCGCUUGAGAGGGCAUCACGUGACUAAAAACGACCAACCAACGACCUCGCUUCGGCCAUCUUGGCAUCUUCAUCUUGGUCACCUUGCUUUGCCGUGGAUCGUUUGUAGUAUUAUUUGUGCUUUUUAAGAAUAUUUUUUUAAUUCGGAUACUUUUAUAAUAGCUUUAAUAGUAUUAUUAACAUAGUGAAUAAAAUGGUGUCCUGUUUUUAACGCAGUUGGAGUAGCAGAAACAAAUGUCGAUAAAAAAAUCUGCAGGAAUAACGUUUCAAUUAUGACAGAAGCUCCAAACAAAUGACUGUGAAUGAAAAGCCCUAUUAAAAGCUUUCCAGAAGAUCCUGCGAAGAAGACAUGAAGUAUAGAUCAGAUUUGUUAAUAGAGGAGUAUGUUCAAAACACUUUUUAGAAAAAGAUAUUGACAGAACUUCACUUUCAUCUGUUCGUUUAAGAGACUGUGCUGUUCCAAUAGCUUAUGUCACACAGAAUCAGCUGAGAGAAGUGGUCUACAAAAAACCAGAAAGGAAACGGAAUAUGUGGCUACGAAAAGCAAAAGAAAGGUUUACAAAGCAAAUGUGACACAUUUUUUUAUAAUAUUUAGGAAUGUCAGUAAAUUACAUUAAAAAAUGUAUGUAAAGAUUUUUUGCAAUAAAAAUGUUUAUAUUUA
rnacentral:lncRNA from 1 species